GGCGGUGGGGGGGGGGGGGGGAGCAGAAUGUGCAUGUGUUGGAGGCGUUUUUAUAAAAUGCACCUGUUGAAUUUUUCCAGUCAUCCCAAGAUUCUCAUUUUGCUUGGAAGUGUGAGAUUUGGAUUCGUUGCUUGACGCGCACAACUGCAGUUACGGGAAGAUCACACCCAAACGGGUUCAUCAUUUGCAUGGCUAACUAAUGACUCAAAUGUUCUGGUUGAGGGGGAUAUCAAGAAGCUCAAUAGCCACUCUUUCCCACCAGGAGGUAGACUUUAACAAUAAGCAGUCUCUGUGUACCGACUCCUGAAGAAAAGAUUCUUGGAUCUGCAGACCUGGCUGUGUAGGAGCUGGGAGGACCGGAGUGUGCAUGCAGAGACUGUGUACGAACACAAGAGGGCAUACUCGCGCUCUUGAGUGAAAAGGAGCUUGAUUGCUUUGACUGGAAAUAACAAAAUGCAGAAACUUGACAUGUACAGACAUGUACAGUAUUUUAUUGGGCUGAAAAACAAGGUUAAUUAAGAUGCAGAUUAAUUAAAGUUUUACUAAUUCCUAUUCAUCAUAAUCCCUUAAUAAUUCUUAGUUUUGCGGUAGUUAACUAAUGGUAAGUUCCCAACAGGAUUCUUGUGGUAAAUACAGCAGUAUCAUCUACUCUUAAAACAUGCAACACACAACUAACAAUUAACCAGUCAUUGUGCAUUACAGUUUUAAUGGUAGGCAUAGAUAUGAGUCAAGGAAAUGAUUUACUGUCCUGAGCUAUAGACAGAAUUUGUUAUUGCAAUCACAGACUGGGUUCAACUUCAGCCAGACUUCUCAAGUGCUUUCACAACUAUAUCAGUCUUUUUAUUCAUGCAUCCAAGAAAAUAAUCCAGGAUAAGUAGGGCCCAUAAAAAACACACAACUGUCAGCCUAAAAACUGUAUAACCCCCACCAUAUCUAAACUAAUAGCAGUGUGGAGUAGUGGUUAGGGCUCUGGACUCCAGACCGGAGGGUCAUGGGUUCAAUCCCCAGUGGGGGACACUGCUGUUGUACCCUUGAGCAAGGUACUUUACCUAAAUUGCUCCAGUAAAAACCCAGCUGUAUAAAUGGGUAAUUGUAUGUAAAAAUUAAUGUGAUAUCUUGUAACAAUUGUAAGUCGCCCUGGAUAAGGGCGUCUGCUAAGAAAUAAAUAAUAAUAAUAAUAGCUCAUAAUACAGUUAACAAAGUGAGGGUUCCAUGUUAACACUGCUCGUGCUGCAGUUUACUGACAUUAGACUUCUCUUAUAAACACAUCUUCACCCAGAGUAAACCGAGGAACUCUUAUUGUAUUGACCGUUCUUUAAUCAAGCACUGCUUUGGGCUUUAUUAUCAGGAUCAGUACAUGGGAGCAGUGGAGCUGGUAAUCAUGGGGGCUCUUUAUAUGAUAACACCACCCUGUCUUAAAAUAGGACAAUAGAAUCUUUAACAGGCUGAUUUUGAUCUACUGUUUGUGUGUUUGAAUGGUUUGCUAUAUUUUUUGUCUGUCUGUGAUUGCACUUGAUUGUGUUUCCGAGGUGUGUCUAACCCUGUAGAUCAAUCACUGUCGAUCCAUACAGGCUGGGGUCUCGGGUGCUGUCUGUGAGAGUGAAUAAUAAGAAACGCUGCCUGAUAAGUGUAGCAAAGCACUGGGGCUGAGGACCACUGUAACAAAACCAUGUCAUCAGAGAAAACCAAACCGGAUCUGACAAUGAAAAGCAAGCAAACAACCAAAAGACUCUCAGAGGCACAAUAAAAGCACAGCCAUAAUGAUGUUAAUAAAGCUGUUUUUUAUUUAGGUUCUGAAAUAAGUGAGGGUUUCAACAUGGACUCAGAUGGCUCCUGAUUUUAAAAGCAUUCAGAAACAUUGCUGUUAUUACAAGUCAAGCCGAAUGUAACAGUUUAAUAGCCUGUUCUGAAAGAUGAAAAUCAAGGGUGUUGCAUAUAUUUUCAUUUCAUAGCAUGUCAUUUAAUUGCAGUUUAAAUGCAGCUCUGGAUUUCCUGUUCACCACUUUGGCUUUCUGAAAGCGAGGGGUCAGUGCUAACGAGGAAGCGCAUAUAUAAAAAGAAGAUGAUGAGAAGGUCUGGACGAAAACAAUAUGGUGUGGAGUUCAAUCUGGAGGUGAUUUCUUCAUGCGUUGUGUAAAAUGCAACACGUUUAUCGUUCUUUUUAAAUACAGCAUACGUAUAGAAAUGUGUGUUCAGCUGCUGUGACUGGGAGUUCAUGAACUGCUCUUCUGUUCUGGUUUUAGACAUCUGUAAUAAAGGCUAGAUCAGCCAGUGUCUUUAUAUUAGUAAGCUACAGCACCAACUACCAAACUGGUGUGUAUUUCCAUCAAAACAGAAGGAAACCUGAUCCAGAGUGGCACAUCACUAGAGGGCGCUGACGCUUACUUCUAUAAAGACCCUGGGGCUGAUCUAGUCUGUGUUACAUGUAUCUACGGCAGGCAUCCAGAACCGAAUUUAAAAUAAGAUGAUCAUCUGAACUAAAGAGGCACUGUGAUGUGUGGAACAUAAACACUCAAACAGCUGCAUUUUGGAUCAUGUUUAUUUAGAUCAAGUGUUGAAAAAAUGCACAUUGCAAGGUUUCCUUGCAUUUCAAUUAAUACCACUGUGAACUGUGAGGUAGUACAAAAGCAAAUUGUUUUACAAAAGUGUGAAGAACAUACGCAGCCUCGUUUAACUUGCUGUCAGAGGAUGUCGUUUGCAUUACAUUUAUUCCAUACAGCACACUCUUAACAUUUGUAGCAUUACAAUACAAAGUACAAAUUAGCAAUCUGUGUAUAAAAAUAUAUUUAAAACAGUACAAAAAGGGAAAAUAAAGCUAUAACCAGAAUGUCUGAUUCACACUGACCAAAUCUCUGUGUCACUGCACACCUGCAAUCGACACAGUCUGCCGUUCCUUUAUAACUUGUUUCCUAGCUGUGCUAGCCUUUCUAGAAGAAAAGAUUUUGCUAAAAAAAAAAAAAAGGAUUUGUCAGCCAACGCUUCCCAGGUAACUGGAGCAACUGCGUGGAACACAAGAUGCG